rnacentral:rRNA from 1 species
UACAGAGGGUGCGAGCGUUGUCCGGAAUUACUGGGCGUAAAGGGCUCGUAGGCGGCCAACUAAGUCAUACGUGAAAUCCCUCAGCUUAACCGGGGAACUGCGUCUGAUACUGGAUGGCUUGAGUUCGGGAGAGGGAUGCGGAAUUCCAGGUGUAGCGGUGAAAUGCGUAGAUAUCUGGAGGAACACCGGUGGCGAAGGCGGCAUCCUGGACCGAUACUGACGCUGAGGAGCGAAAGCCAGGGGAGCAAAGCGGG